GGUGCAGACGGCUUUUUAAGUCGGUUGUGAAAUCUCCCGACUUAAUUGGGAGAAGUCAUUCGAUACUAUUAAGCUAGAGGACGGUAUAGGAAAGCGGAACUCCCGGUGUAGCGGUGAUAUGCGUAGAUAUCGGGAGAAACACCAGUGGCGAAGGCGGCUUUCUGGGCCGUUCCUGACGUUAAGACCCAAAAGCGUGGGGAGCAAAACGGAUUAGAUACCCGUGUAGUCCACGCCCUAAACAUUGGACACUAGGUAUAGGGGGUAUCGACCCUCUCUGUGCCGAAGCUAACGCUUUAAGUGUCCCGCCUGGGGACUACGGCCGCAAGGUUAAA
rnacentral:rRNA from 1 species